CGCACGGAACAGAAAAAACAGUGGAAGUGCUAAGUAGGCGUGGCACGCGUGCCACAAUUAAGCAUCGUUAUGCUUAACGGAUCCCAGUCGCGUUCUAACAUCGCGUAGAGUUGGUAGUCUCGCGACAAAUUCAUAUUGCCCUAGCAAUGCCGUACUGUUCCGUUUUGGAGUGUAAAAAUGAUAGUAGGACAAAAAAUCUUAAAAAUGGAGGUAUUUCGUAUCAUCGGUUUCCCAAAGAUGCAAGCAUCAAAGAGAAAUGGAUAGAUGCAACGAGUAGAGUUAAUUGGAUACCAACCGAACUGUUCGUCAGCUGUUGAAAGGAUAAACAGAAGUAGUAUGUCUCAAGAUAUGUCACAACACGAUCAAAUUGAGGACGAUUCAGAAAUUGAAGAACUAGGAGGGCACUUUUCUGAUUUCAGUAAUAAAGCAAUAGCCCAUAUUGCUGGUUACAUUGCCCGAAUGUUAAUGAAAAAAAUAAACUGUGAUGUCUGUGUUGACGCAUUAGUGACACAUCAUUUUCAACCAGAGAUUUUCGAAAAGAAGUAGCGAUAACUCAAAUAAUGCGAAAGUUCAUAGGAACUCUUUUAUUUAACGAUAUUGCCUCCCAUCAAAUUGGCGAAUUUCUUGCGUCCAAUCACGUUACCGAUUUGAUGAAGGCAAUAGUCGAAAAAUAUAUAAAUGUUCGCAUACAUCAUUUAUUAAAAUUAAAAAUAAGACUUUCGAAACGCCAGUUUCUUAACAAAUAUGUUUUAUUUCAAGGGCAAUAAAUAAAAUUUUACUAUUUUCAUACGUUGCAGUAUUUAUAGUGCAUACUUGUAAAAGGCAUGCACACAUACCAGCACUUUUAUUCAAUUUUAUAUUUACCUUUUUCUAAUUUUAUUUUAGCGAAUGAACAAAAUAACGCGUAUCUAUCGAUAUCGAUAGAUAAUUCAAUGAGCUACGUGGUGCGGCCUUGGCUGAGUAG